AAUCGGUACGGGUUGUGGGAGCAAGAGCCCGGAGAUGGAUUCUGAGACACGAAUCCAGGCCCUACGGGGCGCAGCAGGCGCGAAAACUUUGCAAUGCGGGAAACCGUGACAAGGGAACUCUGAGUGCCCGUAAAAUCGGGCUGUCCAUCAGUUUAAACAACUGGUGAAGAAAGGGCCGGGCAAGACCGGUGCCAGCCGCCGCGGUAAUACCGGCGGCUCGAGUGGUGGCCACUAUUACUGGGCUUAAAGCGUUCGUAGCUGGUCUGUUAAGUCCCUGGGGAAAUCUUCCGGCUUAACCGGAAGGCGUCUCAGAGAUACUGGCAGACUAGGGACCGGAAGAGGUGAGAGGUACUCCAGGGGUAGGAGUGAAAUCCUGUAAUCCUUGGGGGACCACCUGUGGCGAAGGCGUCUCACCAGAACGGCUCCGACAGUGAGGGACGAAAGCUGGGGGAGCAAACCGGAUUAGAUACCCGGGUAGUCCCAGCUGUAAACGAUGCGCGUUAGGUGUAUCAGUGACCACGAGUUACUGAGGUGCCGAAGAGAAAUCGUGAAACGCGCCGCCUGGGAAGUACGGUCGCAAGGCUGAAACU
rnacentral:rRNA from 1 species